GACGUAGGGCGCGAGCGUUGUCCGGAUUUAUUGGGCGUAAAGAGCUCGUAGGCGGCUUGUCGCGUCGGCUGUGAAAACCCGCGGCUCAACUGUGGGCGGGCAGCUGAUACGGGCAGGCUGGAGUUCGGUAGGGGAGACUGGAAUUCCUGGUGUAGCGGUGAAAUGCGCAGAUAUCAAGAGGAACACCGGUGGCGAAGGCGGGCCUCUGGGCCUUACCUGACGCUGAGGCGCGAAAGCUAGGGGAGCAAACGGG
rnacentral:rRNA from 1 species